rnacentral:rRNA from 1 species
GUGUCAGCCGCCGCGGUAAUACGUAGGCAGCAAGCGUUGUUCGGAAUUACUGGGCGUAAAGAGUGUGUAGGUGGUGUCGUAAGUUUGGUGUGAAAUCUCCCGGCUUAACUGGGAGGGUGCGCCGAAGACUGCGAUGCUUGAGUAUGGGAGAGGAAAGCGGAAUUCCUGGUGUAGCGGUGAAAUGCGUAGAUAUCAGGAGGAACACCUGCGGUGUAGACGGCUUUCUGGACCAUUACUGACACUGAGACACGAAAGCGUGGGUAGCAAACAGGAUUAGAAACCCCAGUAGUCC